AACAAGCAAGCUGAAUUCUUAUCGGGGGAAAAAUAUGUGAGGCCUCGUGAAUGCAGAGUUGUGGCCCGGCAACUAAAAAUUGGAGAAUGCGCAACGGUAUUUUUUGUCCUGGCCGUUUCGUACUUGUAAUGCAGGUGCGCGCGCGAGCAUCGCGCGUGCCGUACCUCAGGUUCAGAGAAACCAGGCGGAGCAACUCGCGGCCAGUUGUGCGUUGUUUUACGUGAUUUAUUAUGGUUUCAUACUUUUACUUUUAUGGGAAGAUAUGCCCGAGCAAACUGUUCAUGGUUUGCCUGGUUUCUUUGGAGGAAGGACAGACUUCGGACAACACAGCAACACGCGAAUGUCAACGAAAUACAAGCGACCUCCUGUAGACUACGGUACGCCGCAAACUUCUGCUUGUUCUCCUGAAACCGCAGCCACAAAAUACUCAGCCUGUGGCGACAUCAAACGGCAAACUGGGGGACGGGGGGACUCUCGUCCAGUAAGCUGAGGGUUCGCAUCUCCUUCUCACCUGCUUCACUUUGGCCACGUCGCGAAUGAAGGCUUCGUCAUCUACGAAGUUCAGAAGCUUCUUCAGCUGGAAGAGAUACGGAAGCCUUGGUAUUCAGUGCUGCCCUCCCACCACUGCAAAUGCUGCUUACCUGUGUGAGUAGAGUGUGUGGGUGUGAUUGAACAUCUGAAACGAGGUUAUGUAAUCAAUGGGCGAGGUCUGGAUGGAUUUCUGCGGGG